GAUGAACGCUAGCGGCAGGCUUAACACAUGCAAGUCGAGGGGCAUCGCGGGUAGCAAUACCUGGCGGCGACCGGCGGAAGGGUGCGUAACACGUAUGCAACCUGCCCCUACAGGGGAAUAACCCAGAGAAAUUUGGCCUAAUGCCCCGUAGUCCGCGCGUCGGCAUCGUUGCGCGGGGAAAGAUCCGUCGGUAGGGGAUGGGCAUGCGGCGCAUUAGCUAGUUGGCGGGGCAACGGCCCACCAAGGCUACGAUGCGUAGGGGUUCUGAGAGGAAGGUCCCCCACACUGGUACUGAGACACGGACCAGACUCC
rnacentral:rRNA from 1 species